rnacentral:misc_RNA from 1 species
GAUGAAGAACGUAGCGAAAUGCGAUAAGUAAUGUGAAUUGCAGAAUUCAGUGAAUCAUCGAAUCUUUGAACGCACAUUGCGCCCGCCAGUAUUCUGGCGGGCAUGCCUGUUCGAGCGUCAUUUCAACCCUCAGGCCCCCAGUGCCUGGUGUUGGGGAUCGGCCCAGCCUUCCUGUAAGGCCGCCGGCCCCGAAAUCUAGUGGCGGUCUCGCUGUAGUCCUCCUCUGCGUAGUAGCACAACCUCGCAGUUGGAACGCGGCGGUGGCCAUGUCGUUAAACACCCCACUUCUGAAAGUUGACCUCGGAUCAGGUAGGAAUACCCGCUGAACUUAAGCAUAUCAAUAAGCGGAGGA